UGGAACUGAGGAGUUGAGAGUUAUGAGAGCAGCAUCCCACAGAGGGGACAAAUGCAAGGCCAUUAUAGGAAAGGAUUUGGGCAUUUAAAAAAGUGAACAAUGCAUCUGGGGUUUGGUGCUGAUCUAAUUAAACUUGUGAGGCUGCAAAGGAUUCAUCCCCACCCAGUGAGAAGCAGCCAGGUUGCAGUUGCUGUGGGAACAGCGCCACCAACCAGGCCUGGUGCUGCUCAUACUCCCCCUGGACCAUUCCUGCCCUCACAUAAACCAAUCAAUGAUGCUGAGGAACAUUCAGUAGCCAUCAAACAAGAAACACUCCGAGGAAACCAAUGAGUAGCACUUUCCCAUCUUUGCCUCAGGAACUCUGCCUCCUGGUAGAAAGGGUCCAGCAGAGUGGUGACCUGGUGACAUAUAUAUAUAUAUAUAUAUAUAUAGGCUGUGCUGUCCAUGCAGGCCCUGGCCUGUUGAGGAGUCAAGUGUUUUCAAUGAUAAUAAAGAUCAUGAAUAGUUUAAGACCUUACUGUCU
rnacentral:lncRNA from 12 species